rnacentral:lncRNA from 1 species
GAGAGAGAGAGAGAGAGAGAGAGAGAGAGAGAGAGAGAGAGAGAGAUACAUGAAAUUGUUCACAGGGCAGAGUGCAUCGGUUUGGAGAUGGUAUCGGGUAUCUCGACCAGAAUUCUCUAUCUGCCGGUGGUGGUGUUUCGUGUCAAAACGAACGCCCUUUCAAAGAUGCCGUUCACCUUUUACCGUUAAAGGGCAUUGCACGGUUCCUCGAAAUGCAGGGAACGUUAGAACGUGAGAAGCACUCUCAACAGGAUGCGGUGUACACGAGGGACUGUUGUAAUCUUUUGUCUAAAUCUUUUACUCUGAAAAAAAAUUUAUUUAUCCGCGAUAUAUAAGAAAAACACGCAUAUUUCUUCUGGAUAGAAUUUAUCAAGUUGAGUGAAAAGGACAGACGGUCAAGUUUGUUUACGCCGCAAUAAAAGAUUGUGCUUUUGAGAAAUUAUUAUAUAUUAACUUUCUAGGAUAUUCAAUAUUUAUAUAUUAUUUUCUAAAUGAAGAUAUAUAUAUAUAUAUGGUUGGUUAACAAAUGGUUGCAUCAGUUCAAUAAAAUAUUGAUAAUUUUUUCAAAUGACAGAUAAAAGAGAGAAUUGUAAAUAUUAUAAGAUGGUGGGAUUACCAAAAUUAAGCUGAGUCAGAGAAAUUAAAGAAAUUUCGUCCAAUUGAUUCUUAAGACAGAAUUUAUAGUUUGGUAACGUGUUACGUUAGUUACGUAGCUGAAAGUUGUGUAAUAAGCUGGUUUGGAGAAAAUGAAAUUUGAUACAGCUAGGAGAUUCUGAGAUGGGCAAGUGGAUGAAAGUUUUUGACAUGAAAUUCAGAUUUGAAAAUAUGAUAAUACUUGUACAUUGUCAACAUUAUUGAGUAUUUUUAUAUAUUGAACAUUUUUAAUCAUUAUUUAGUUUCAUUAUUUUCUUGUUAAGAAUUAUAUGCAAGCACAUAGAGAACGUUAUAAGAAAGUAACAAGAAAGAAAUAUCACAACAUCUUUAUAAUAUUUCCUGGCCAUUUACAACUCAUUAAUUUUCUAAAAACAGAUAUUAAAUUGUUUCCGCUAUUUUAUAAAAUACCGUAUAAACUACCGAAACGAAAGAGACGGAAAUAAAAAUUACUCCUAAGUUCAUUGAAUUAAAGGAAGAAGACAAGAAUUUAAGUAUAUCAUUAUAUAAGUGGAAGUCAGAUCUUUUUUAGAAAUUACUUUUACUUGCAAUAAUCGGUAAAAAUAAUCUAUUAUUUUGGUUAAAACUUUCAAAUACAGCGAAUCAUUAAAUGAGAAAAAAAAAUUUUUUAAAUUUAAUAAGUAAAAUUUACUUAAUUCAUCCUUUUAAUAAAUUCUUAAUCCUUAUAUAUUUCAAACGCCGAGACAAUUCAUUCCUUUCUCCUAACAGAGUUAAAGAUGUUGAAAGAUUUCAGUUACAAAGAUAAGAAGUUUACGGACAUCCGCAUCCGAGGAUCUCGAACAGGCUCAUCAACAAGUUUAAUACUCGCUGUAAACCGAUCCUGAUGCUGACUUUCAUUCUUUUCGAAUUAAGUAACGCAAUUCGACGAAAGCGCAAUCUUACAGCGACGAAUACGACCUUUCAAAGGUGAAACGACAAAGAAAGUUUGAAAUUCGAUAUAGCACGAAAAUAUUGCAGUUGGAAGUGUUUACAUUUUUUGCUCGCAUUCGUUUCAUGCUCGUCCACAGUUGCUGCCUUCUUCUUCUUAGAAUUCUUUUAUCGUUUAAGCGCAAUUACACGAGUCUUAUCUGUGACUAUUAUCAAGGGCUACUCGCUUUAAAAGUGGAAUAUUGUCGCAGAUAUAAUAAUAAUAAUAAAUCGUAAACGGAAAUAUUGGGAAAUUAC